UUGAAUGCCAGUGUUAGGAAGGAAGUUGUUCUUUGCGAAAAUAAUUUGUGCAUGGACAAAAGGAGUAAAACAGCGUGAAUGCCGCGAAUCAGGAAAAGGAGCCGUUCACAAAACGGACGCAACAGGAUGGACUCGGCCAGUCUAACGUCGCGUGUCCAUCGGCCUGUGGCGUCCGCGUGUGUGCGAUGAUUUCAUGCAACUAACAAAUCGACGAGUAUGCAAUUGUAAAUUCUCUUUAUUUACAUACAAUAAAUACAAAUUGAAUAAAUAAGCGAAUCAGGAGAUUUAUUGCUGAGGAGUGACGAUGCAGCAGGCGACGCGGGCGCCGGCGUUGCCCGUCUUGAGGCUCUCGGCGUCUCUGCCCUUGCCCAGGUCGUCGGCCUUGGCGUGAACGACGAAGGCGCGUCCCACCACGGAAUCUUCGGCGCCGGGGGUGAGCGAAAUGCCCCGAGAGGCGAAAUUCACGACCGCCUGCCCGCUGAUGUCGGCCUCAAUGUUGCCGAAGUCGCCGGCGUGGCGGACCUCGUCGGAAGGGGAGCCGUGGGUGGCCUUCAAAUGUCAAUUAGCGUUAAGUUUAGAGCUGCUCUUCAUCCGAAGACCAAACAUUUAAUUUUAUGCCAUUAUGCAAUUGACAUGCGGCCUCCAAACAAUUAUUUGAUCUGCUGAUUUACCAGAUAAUAGCGAAACUUCAAAAUAAAUUAAUUUGAGAAUCGUCCUCAAAAUGAUUUUUGCUGACUACGAAUUCACAAUUAACACUUUAUGCUUAAGUUGGCAAAUAGAUU